CUCUCUCUCUCUGUCUCUCUCUCUCUCUCUGCCUCUCUCUCUCUCUCUCUCUCAUGAAAUCAGCUGCCAUGUUGAGCUGCCCUAAGGAGAGGACAAGGAACUCAGUGAGGCCUCCAGACAAGAGGCAAGGAACUCAGUGAGGCCUCCAGACAAGAGCUAAUAAGAAUCUGAAGUCUCUGGUUCAACAGCUUAUGAGGAACUGAAUCCUGCCAAAACCAUGUUGCUGUGAGGUCAACCAAGAAGAGGACUAAGAAUUCAUCAGUGGAUUUGGGCUCCAAGACCACAGAAGUUUGGUGUUCAGAUAUGAAUCACUCCCAUCCCUAUUGUUUAUGGAGGAACAUGUCAUGUGUGAAGGCUGCUUGUGAAUAUGGGCUAUGUUACUAAGUAAAAUAAAACUGAGUUAUUUUUCAGUUUUUAGGAAAUUGUUUAUAGUAGAAAAAUCUAUUAGGCAUGUUCACAUUUUUCUAAAGUAACUAAAAAGUGAAUCAUUUCUAUUGCUAGCAACAUAAUAAAUUCAACUUGUUUUA